GCCAAAUAAGCAGCCACAUAAGCAUACAUGUGGCAUUGCUCUAAGGCCAGGAUUGAAGAAGGCUUCUAUUGUACGCUUCAUUAUACUCUCUCUCUCAUUCUCUCAUUCAUCUUUCCUGUCAAAAAACCCUAAACAAAAAAUUCCUCUGCCUCUCUCUCUCUCUCUCUCUCUCUCAACACCAUCGCCGACAACCUUCAUCAGUCAUUCAACCGGAGCGACGGUCGACGGAUUUGAAGGCUUUCCACUCUACAAUGGUAGUGCUUGAAAGUAAGAAAAAGGAAGUUGAGAAGUAUGAUGUUGUUGUCAAAGAAACAAGCAAGCCAAGCCAAUCAACGACUCAAGGAACUUCAUAAAGACUGUUGAAGAACUGGUGCAGCUACUCUAGCAAAGGGUGAAGAUGGACUUAAAGAAUGAUGUUUUAUGCCGAUGGAUGUUGGUGCGGAACUGAAUAAUGACUUUUAACUCUUCUUAAAGGUAAUAUCUUGCUUUUUAUAGCUUCGCUGGGAUUGGUUUGGACAUGUCUUAUUUACAAAACAAGUCGACGCGGCUCAGUUCAUUUACAAGUGAUCCAACUACAAAAAAAAAAGGGUUUUGUAUGUAGGUGAAGAUGUACUUAAAGAAUGAUGUUUUAUGCCGAUGGAUGCUAGUGUGGAACCGAAUAAUGACUUCUACCACUUAUUAAAGGCCACACUAUAAUAUAAAUCUGCAGAGUAUUUCUGUCAAUGGUCAAACGCUGUCCAUUGACCCGUCGACUUUUGCGAUAUCAGACAACCAAGGUGGAAGUGGAACCAUAGUUCAGGAACAACUCUGUCAUACCUUGCUGAAGAUGCUCUUAACCCGUUUGUGGAUGCUGUAAGUAUAAGAGGUGUCAAUGUUGUGAGAUUGCCUUAUUUAUCUGUUAUAGAGGUUGCAAAAUACCUGUAUAUUGUUGGUUUUCAUUUACAAAAUCCCUUCAUUUUGCCGUCAUUAUCGGUUUUUGGGUUUUGACUAAUGGUCAACCAUAAUGUUGGUGUCACUCUUAUUUCUGCAGAUCACACAGGCGGUUUCACAGUCUGUACAGCCGCUUAUUUCAAAGAAAAAGAAGUUUUAUAUAAUUACCUCCAGGUUUUUCUUUCAUACAUAUUAAUAUUAGCUAUAUAAUAUGAUCGUUUAACCAAUAAAUCAACGUAUAAUUGUAUAAGAUCACUAAUAUUAUCAACUUUUAAUGGGUUAUGUUAUGAAGUAUCUUAUAACGAUAUACUAACAAGAACAUAUACAAAUUUAUUACUAUCAUAUGUCACUAUUUCUUAACCCUGGAAAAAUGGGCAGGCACUUCAUCAUCAGAAUAUUUCAUUUCAAAGUAAAUAAUAUGGUUUUGAAUGAAGCCGUGCAUCGCGCGGGCAUUAACCUAAUAUGAGGAUAAAAUGGUCAAUUUCUCUUACGCCAUUUUAUAGCCUACUAUUAUAGCAAUCUCUAUAUAACUAAAUAUUUUCCUUUUGUUAAUGCACAACCGUUAACUUAUGUAAAUCGCUCCACUGCCACACACUCUCGUCAUAAUCAACAUUUCAAUUGCCUCUCCUUCUCACCACACACAUAUGCAUGCGCACAUACACACAUUCAAAUGCCUAAUACACUCAUGCAUAAUAUGUUUCAAUACUAAUCAUCCCUCUCCACCUGACGAUGCUUGAAGAAACUCAUGAUAAUCAGGUAAGAAGGCCAUAAUCUCAUUAAUAGUAAACUAUGUGUAUAAUAAGUGUUACUUUACUGAAACAAUAUACCUACUAUAUGUUUAUAUACAUAAAGAGAUGGGAGAGGGGGAUAGCUAACUAACACACACCAAUUCUAACGAACUCUCAACUAACAAAACUGACUCAACCCCAUAGUUCUAUACUCUAAUAUGCCCCCUCAAGCCGAACGUGGCGCAGCGACGUGAAGCUUGAACCGGAGAGUGUCAAAAGGACCUGGCGACAACCCUUUGGUCAAUAGAUCUGCCAAUUGAAGAGAAGUGGGCACGUACCCAACACGGAGAAUCUGUGCUAACACCAUAUCAUGAAUAAAAUGCAAGUCAAUCUCAAAGUGUUUCGUGCGCUAGUGAAACACAAGGUUGACUGCAAGAUAAGUGGCACCAACGUUGUCACACCAAAGAGUAGGUGGACAUGAUAAAGUAAUAUGAAGCUCCUGUAAAAGCGAUAAAAUCCAUCGAAUCUCAACAGCAGUAUGAGCUAAAGCACGUACUGAACCUCUGUACUAGAAUGGGCAACAGUAUGACAUUUCUUGGAUCUCCAACUAAUAUGUUGGGCCCGAGAAAGACACAAUAUCCAAUAGUAGUCGACCAACGAUCAUUAGGGCAUCCUGCCCAAUCAGCAUCAGAUUAAGCAUGAAGAUCAACAUAAUCGGAUCGCCUAAUAUAUAAUCCAUGAGAAACGGGGCCUCAGAGAUACCUCACAAUGCGCAUGACUGCUAGUCAGUGAGAAUUAGUAGGUGUCUGUAAAAACUGGGACAUCUUGCUAACCGCAUAAGCAAUCUCGGGUACAGUCAAGACUAAAUACUGUAAAUUAGCAAAUGUACUCCGUAAUAAAGUGGGAUUGGCCAAAGGUAUACGUGUAUAACCAGAAAGCUGGCGUCUAGAGGUAACUGUAGUAGACAAAGGCCGACACUCAGCAAGGCUAGUACGCUAUAAUAAAUCAAGUAGAUGGCGAUAUUAAGAUAGAUAUAGAACAUCAUUAGUGAAAGUAGCACGUAUACAUAAACAAUAGGAUAGAACUCCCAAAUCCUUGAGCGUAAACUAUGAAUAAAAUGCUUAGUCAAUCCAAUAACAAAUUCAAAAGAGCUCCCAGUAAUAAUAAUAAUAA